AGGAGAGGAGAGGAGAGGAGAGGAGAGGAGAGGAGAGGAGAGGAGAGGAGAGGUUUGACAAAGAAAGCUACAAUUCAGCCCACAUUUAUUUAAAUAUGCCUCCUUGGUAACUAAGUCUCCUUGGAAACUAUAAAACUACUAGAGCUCCUUCGGUCUCAAGGCAAAACCUCUUCAGUCUUUAUUGAUUCUACUGUGUUCUCGUGAAACAAGUCCUCCUCUACAUAUUCUCCUCUUCAUAUUCCUCCAGAGCACCUCCAGAGACCAGAAUCACAGGAACGGUUAUCAAGGUCAAGCCAACUGGACAAGUUUCCUUAAGCUGAUCUCUGUGGAGGAGGAGGAAGGGGGAGGCAGAGAGGAAAGAUGAGGUGGCGACACACAUCUCUGCGUGCCUGGCAGAUAUCUCAGCUUGGAUGUCGGUUCACCACCUCAAGCUCAACCUCGACAAGACAAGACAGGGCUGUUCUUCCUCUCCCGGGGAAGGCCUGCCCACUCAACGACCUCUCCAUCACAGUUGACAGCUGCACAGUGCCCCCCUCCCUCCCAGAGUGAAAGAACCUUGGCGUGACCCUGGACAACACGCUGUAGUUCUCUGAAAACAUCAAAGCAGUGACUCGCUCCUGCAUGUUCAUGCUCUAACACACAUUUCCCUCCCUCCCUGAUGAUGAAUGUACUGACUCUGACUGUCCCACCUAGCUAUCUGUAGAUGAAUGUACUGACUCUGACUGUGAUCUGUGGUUGUCUCACCUAGCCAUCUGUAGAUGAAUGUACUGCCUAUGACUGGUCCACCUAGCCAUCUGAAGAUGAAUGUACUGCCUAUGACUGAUCCACCUAGCCAUCUGUAGAUGAAUGUACUGCCUAUGACUGGUCCACCUGGCCAUCUGUAGAUGAAUGUACUGCCUAUGACUGGUCCACCUAGCCAUCUGUAGAUGAA